rfam:Helianthus annuus linkage group 14, whole genome shotgun sequence.
GAAUAUGAUGAGAGUUAUUGUCGCCCCAGUCUUACGAACUUCGUUAACGUACGUGGUUCCCUGGUGAUAGACAUAUUUACAAUCUGAUUC